CCUAGGGGAGGCAGCAGUGGGGAAUUUUGGACAAUGGGGGCAACCCUGAUCCAGCAAUGCCGCGUGAGUGAAGAAGGCCUUCGGGUUGUAAAGCUCUUUUGUCAGGGAAGAAACAGCAGCUCUAACACAGUCUGCGAAUGACGGUACCUGAAGAAUAAGCACCGGCUAACUACGUGCCAGCAGCCGCGGUAAU
rnacentral:rRNA from 1 species